rnacentral:rRNA from 1 species
UACGGGGGGGGUAAGCGUUGUUCGGAAUUACUGGGCGUAAAGGGCUCGUAGGCGGCCAACUAAGUCAUACGUGAAAUCCCUCAGCUUAACUGGGGAACUGCGUGUGAUACUGGAUGGCUUGGAUUUGGGAGAGGGAUGCGGAAUUCCAGGUGUAGCGGUGAAAUGCGUAGAUAUCCGAAAGAACACCGGUGGCGAAGGCGGUGGUCUGGGCCGUAACUGACGCUGAGGAGCGAAAGCAUGGGGAGCGAACAGG